rnacentral:rRNA from 1 species
GAAGCAAAGCCGCGAGGUAGAGCAAAUCUCAAAAAAACAAUCUCAGUUCAGACUGCAGGCUGCAACUCGCCUGCACGAAGUCGGAAUUGCUAGUAAUCGUAGGUCAGCAUACUACGGUGAAUACGUUCCCGGGCCUUGUACACACCGCCCGUCAAACCAUGAGAGUUGGCAACACCCGAAGUCGGUAGUCUAACCGCAAGGAGGACGCCGCCGAAGGUGGGGUUGAUGAUUAGGGUUAAGUCGUAACAAGGUAAC